AUUGAACGCUGGCGGCAGGCUUAACACAUGCAAGUCGAGCGGGGGAAGGUAGCUUGCUACCGGACCUAGCGGCGGACGGGUGAGUAAUGCUUAGGAAUCUGCCUAUUAGUGGGGGACAACAUCUCGAAAGGGAUGCUAAUACCGCAUACGUCCUACGGGAGAAAGCAGGGGAUCUUCGGACCUUGCGCUAAUAGAUGAGCCUAAGUCGGAUUAGCUAGUUGGUGGGGUAAAGGCCUACCAAGGCGACGACCUGUAGCGGGUCUGAGAGGAUGAUGCGCCAAACUGGGACGGAGACACGGCCCAGGCUCCUACGGGAGGCAGCAGUGGGGAAUAUCGGACAAUGGGGGGAACCCUGAUCCAGCCAUGCCGCGUGUGUGAAGAAGGCCUUAUGGUUGUAAAGCACUUUAAGCGAGGAGGAGGCUACUCUAGUUAAUACCUAGGGAUAGUGGACGUUACUCGCAGAAUAAGCACCGGCUAACUCUGUGCCAGCAGCCGCGGUAA
rnacentral:rRNA from 1 species